CCUACGGGUGGCAGCAGUGAGGAAUAUUGGUCAAUGGGCGCGAGCCUGAACCAGCCAAGUAGCGUGAAUGAUGACUUCCCUACGGGUUGAAAACUUCUUUUCUCAGGGACAAGGAAGAUGACGGUUGCUGAGGAAUCAGCCACGGCUAACUACGUGCCAGCAGCCGCGGUAAUACGUAGGUGGCAAGCGUUAUCCGGAUUUACGGGGUGAAAAGGGCGAGUAGGCGGGUCUGCAAGUCAGAUGUGAAAACCCCUGGCUCAACCUGUGGACUGCAUUUGAAGCUGUAGUUCUUGAGUACUGGAGAGGCAGACGGAAUUCCUAGUGUAGCGGUGAAAUGCGUAGAUAUUAGGAGGAACACCAGUGGCGAAGGCGGUCUGCUGGACAGCAACUGACGCUGAGGCGCGAAAGCGUGGGGAGCAAACAGGAUUAGAUACCCUGGUAGUC
rnacentral:rRNA from 1 species